GAUGAACGCUGGCGGCGUGCCUAAUACAUGCCAGUCGAGCGAACGGACGAGAAGCUUGCUCCUCUGAUGUUAGCGGCGGACGGGUGAGUAACACGUGGAUAACCUACCUAUAAGACUGGGAUAACUUCGGGAAACCGUAGCUAAUACCGGAUAAUAUUUUGAACCGCAUGGUUCAAAAGUGAAAGACGGUUUUGCUGUCACUUAUAGAUGGAUCCGCGCUGCAUUAGCUAGUUGGUAAGGUAACGGCUUACCAAGGCAACGAUGCGUAGCCGACCUGAGAGGGUGAUCGGCCACACUGGAACUGAGACACGGUCCAGACUCCUACGGGAGGCAGCAGUAGGGAAUCUUCCGCAAUGGGCGAAAGCCUGACGGAGCAACGCCGCGUGAGUGAUGAAGGUCUUCGGAUCGUAAAACUCUGUUAUUAGGGAAGAACAUAUGUGUAAGUAACUGUGCACGUCUUGACGGUACCUAAUCAGAAAGCCACGGCUAACUACGUG
rnacentral:rRNA from 1 species